rnacentral:ncRNA from 2 species
AGAAACCCAGCGAAGGGGAAAAGUAAUUUAAGCCUGUUCUUUCAGAGAGCCGGUGGGUGGUGCGAACCGGCAGAGGGUUUAAGUGAAUUCCUCCCCGGAGGGGAUCCGCCGAAAAACAGCGAGACAGAUAAAAGAGCUGCCAGUAGGUGGAUACGGGAAGACACCCGUUAUAACAAAUGAGUGGGUCAGAAGUUUUUAGUUUCUGACCAACAAGGGUGGCAACGCGGGAGCAUAACCUCUCGUCCCUAAU